UAUGUUGAAAAUUUAUACAUGUAAUGUAAUCGGUAUUUUGUAUGUAAAUACAGUUGUCUAACUAAUCCACCGGGCUUUUUUUUUUUACUGUAUCCUGAGUAUUUGCAAUAAAUUCAAUUAUUUUUUCAAGAUUUAGGAUAUUCAAGGUGCAUUUAUUGACUUUUCCAUAAAAAAUACAAAUGUAUUUUAAAAUCAUUUUUUUUUUAAUACACACAUUGCCAAGUAAAGUUUAUAAACAUAUAAGUAAAACAAGAAAUAAAUAUAGUAUAUUAAAAUAUUAAAUAUUUAGUUUAUUAUCACCACCACCAUCAUUACUACAACCACUCACCACCCACCACCCACCAUAUUUAAAUGGAGUAUUCUAUAACAAUGGAUAAUAAGAAUUAUAAUUUGAUGAUUUAUAUUCUUUCUACAUUCAAAAAUAAUAAUUAAAAAAAAAAACUGACAUUGUCCGAAAAGCAAGAAACCAAAACAAAAUAACCAAAGUAAAAUAACUCUAUAAAACCUUCAUCCUAGGCCUAUUUUUGCUGCUUUCUUAAACCUCAGGCCCGGGAUUUAUCAGUCUUAGCUUAGCAAAUGUCUUAAGUCUAAAAAGGCUUAGUCCCUAGGCAAAUAUCUAAAGCUGAUUAAUAUCAAACCAUUUUUUUAAGCAAAAUCUUAGCUUAAAAUCUUCUUAGAUGGUUCAUGCGUAAAAUCGACUUUUUAAUUUUAAGCAAUUUUUAAGUUAAGGCAAUAGUGGUAAAUUUGACAUAAGCAUAAAAAUGGACUUUAUAUGAACUUAAGCUGAUUUCUAGUUCGAUAAAGCAGGCCCCUGAUGAACUUAUAAUUAUGUGUCUCAUGACUAACUUAUGUUUCAGAAAUGCUGAAGUAAAUCUAUAUUGUACUAACGACGGUUAUGGCAAUCGGGAAAUAACAGAAGAUAAAUUUUCAAAACUGUAACACGUUUGUUUCAAAAUAGCGACCAGCAUUUGAAAGUUGAUGCUCUUCUCUAAUUUCCCGCCGAUUUAAUAUAAUCGAGGAAUAAUUGGUAAAGACAACUUGGAUUCUUGCUUCGAACAAUGUAGCAUUCGUAGAAGUCUUAUAAGUAAUUAUAACCCUAUCUAAUAGUGACUUUAGAAUGGUCAAGAACAGGACAUCCGACAAAUUACACACACAUAUUUUCGUUUUUACUUUCUAGGCUGGGUCUAGGUAGAUAUUUGCCAAUAAUUAACACGUAUCUACCUAGACCCAGCCUAGAAAGUAAAAACGAAAAUAUGUGUGUGUAAUUUAAUAAAUGUGUUCUACUAAUCAUGAAUAUUUUUAGACAGAAUAUCAAAGAAUAUAGGAAGAAUAUGAAAGAAACUCGGAGUGUAUUGUAAUUAUGUACCAAAUGCUAUUAUGAUAAUAAUAUUAUAUAUUAUAUUUUACGUGUUUGUAUUAAACUUAAAUCAUCAGAAGUCAAAAAGCCAAUCCUAUCACGUUUAAUGUUUUGACAUAAAAUCAAUGCGUUAUUAGUCAUCCAGUUAUAAGGCUGUUCGACAAAAAUCUACUAAAGCUAUAAGCCAGUAGAAUUUUAAAUAAAUGAAAGAUUUAACCAUGUCAAAAUUGCUUUGCUGAGAUUGUUUUUUUAAGCUUGUCAAUACCUAAUCUAGUAGAGUAUUUAUGUGUAUAUUGUAGAAUAUAAAUAUAUAUAUAAUAUAUAUAUAUAUAUAUAUAUAUAUAUGUUUAAUCAGUCGUUCAGUUAAUAUUUUGUUUACUUUUUUUACUUUUUAUCUACUUCUUUUGUUAGUUUUCUCCAUCUUUUAUAUAUUGUAUUAUUUAGUCAUUUAGUGGUAAGUUUUCCUCUAAUAAUAUGAUUAUAGUAGCAAAAAUAAUUGAAUAAAAUGAAUAGAUAUGUAAAAAUACAUAUGAAAAAUAGAGUAAGUGAAAGCUAAAUAACUUAAUAUAUUACAUACAUUUUGUAUUGAUUUUUUUGUUUUUCAUAUUGAUGUUUUAUAUUAAUAUUAUAUAUUUACUGAACUGUUAAGAACAGUUGAGGUAUUUUCUUAAAACGAUAGGCAAAACUAUUAUGUAUGCCUGUAAUUGUUCUUAAAUUGGUUUUUGGCUCAUUAUAAAAAUGUUUUGAAGGUAAAAACUGGAAAAAUUCAACAUAUUGUUACAAAAAGUUUCUAAAAGUCAAGUUUAAAAAAAACAAAAAAAAACAUUGAAAAUAUUAUUAUAUUGAAACCCAUUUGUAAGAUAAGCGAUAUAAAUCUCAAACAUUGUCACUAUGAUCUACCUACUUGAGUAUGAUGGUACAAAGUACAAACAGAAGAGAAUGCAACUUGAAAUACAUAAGACAUAACCUAUCUUUAAUUUCAAACUCAAUAACAUUAUUAAAACAAUAAGUUGCACAUUUAACACAAAUAAUAAUUACUUUGGUAUAAUUAUAUUUUUUGCUGAUAUUACAGACUUUUAAUACGGAAUUCAUAAUACAAAAUAAAUAUUUAUACAGGUUUACAAAAAAGAAUAUACGAGACUAUCUUACAAAUUCACAAUAGUUUGCAGACACAUAAUAAUAAUAAUAAUAAUAAUAAUAAUAAUAAUAAUAAUAAUAAUAAUAUUUAUUUGGCAAAAAGCAUAUAGGAGAAAAACAUCAUGAAUUGCCCGGAUAGGGAAUGGGCGAAAGCCCGAACAAUAUUUAUUAAUAUAUCCCAUCCUUCAUAUAAUAUGAAAUACACAAAAACAAUCAGAACUAAUCUGAAACAUAAAAUGAAAUAAAAUGCUUAAUUAAAUUAUUCUUAAAAUAGGAAACAUUAACAGAGUUUUGAAGUAGAGGAGGUAGUUCUUCCCAGAGCCUGGGAAAAGACACGAAAGCAGAAUUAAGAAAAAUAUUGCUUUUGGCUUUCCAGUGAAUAAGCCUACCCUCACAACGCUCACUCUUAUGAACAAACUCUGUUAAUGUUGGGGGACAAACAUUAUGAAGAACUUUGAAACCAAGAACAAGCCGGUGAUAUUUAAAAAUAUCUUCUAUGCUUAAUAUGUUAAGCGUUUUCAGCCUAUCUUCAUAAUGUACGUCCCAGUCACCAUCUUUUUUAAACGUAAUUAUUCUGGUGGCUCUACGUUGGAUUCUUUCAAUUCUAUUAAUAUUAGUUUUGUCACCUGGUGCCCACAUUGCACAACAAUACGUAAUAAAUGGAAGAAUCAAUGCUUUAUAUAGAUUUAACAUUACAGCCCAUGACAUAUUUUUACUAUACUUAUUAAUAAAACCUAGUAAUUGUCAUGAUUUAGAACAAAUAAUUUACUUGUGUAUAGCAUGAAAGUUUAUUAUGUAUAAAAACACCAAGUAAUUUAAAUUCAUUUACUUUUUCUAAGUAAAUAUUAUCUAUUUUAUAAUCCCAUUUAAUUGGGUUCUUACUUUUACUUAUAUGCAUAGUAGCACAUUUAGAUACAUUUAGAAGUAAUUUAUUUACAACUGACCAAUUGUAUAUCUUUUCAAGAUCUUGCUGAAGAGCAAUACAGUCCCUAAUAUUAUUGAUUUGGUGGGAAAGAGUAUGGUCAUCUGCAAACUGAAAUAUUGAUGAUGAGAUAUCAUUUACAAUGUCACUAACAUAAAUUAGGAAGAGUCCCAACACAGAACCUUGAGGGACCCAAGAUGUUACAUUAAUGCACUCUGACUUCUCUCCUCUAUAAAUAACUCUUUGCCUUCUGUUAGUUAAGAAAUUUUUUUUAUCCAGCUAUCGAUAAUACCUGUAAUGCCAUACAUGCUAUUAAGUUAUAUAAUAAGAGAUUGAUCAAAGUAAAACAUUGAAAUGACGAAAGUACCAAAUUCUAAUAGUUUCAAACGAAAACUUAAAUUAAAGACCACUGUAAUUCAGCUCUUCAAUGAAGACAAUAAAUAAAGGAUUCAGUAUUUACUAUUAUGUUUAAUAAUUUAUACCUGAGAUGUUACUUAGCUAGUUAGAUAAAAUGCUUGCUUUAACACAUUCUUGACUUAGUUCUAGACUUAAAUCCGAAAGAUAUCACAAAUUGCAACUUUCACCUGUAUUUGAUAUUAUAAAUUUCUACUUUCUGAAUAAACAUAGCUAUUACCAUUUAGUGUAUAAGAAGAAAAUAACCAUUAAAGUUCAUACAAUGAUAUUCAUUUAUAAGAAAAAAGAAAAUUGGCUGAUACCUGCAUAUUGUUAACAAUACGUUAUGUAUUUGAACUCCUUAAAAAGUGUAAAAAUAUUUCUCGAAGCAUUCAGCUUCAGCAAAACGUACAUGUAAUAAAAGUUAGAAUUUUAGGCCUAUGUAUAGGCACCAAA